rnacentral:rRNA from 1 species
UUGUAGUCAUCCACAUGAGAACCUUUCUCGGCCUUCACUGGUCGGUUGGGGGAUCAUGUACUUUACUUUGAAAAAAUCAGAGUGUUUCAGGCAGGCGUUUGCAUGAAUACACAAGCAUGGAAUAAUGGAAUAGGACUAGGGUCCAUUUUAUUGGUUAUUGGACCAUAGUAAUGAUUAAUAGGGACAGUUGGGGGCAUUAGUAUUUAAUUGUCAGAGGUGAAAUUCUUGGAUUUAUUAAAGACUAACUUAUGCGAAAGCAUUUGCCAAGGAUGUUUUCAUUAAUCAAGAACGAAAGUUAGGGGAUCAAAGACGAUCAGAUACCGUCCUAGUCUUAACUAUAAACUAUACCGACUAGGGAUUGGUUGGGUCAUUAGAGCCCAAUCAGCACCUUAUGAGAAAUCAAAGUCUUUGGGUUCUGGGGGGGAGUAUGGUCGCAAGGCUGAAACUUAAAGGAAUUGACGGAAGGGC